AGUGAACGCUGGCGGUAGGCCUAACACAUGCAAGUCGAACGGCAGCACAGUAAGAGCUUGCUCUUACGGGUGGCGGGUGGCGGACGGGUGAGGAAUACAUCGGAAUCUACUUUUUCGUGGGGGAUAACGUAGGGAAACUUACGCUAAUACCGCAGCCGACCUACGGGUGAAAGCAUGGGAUCUUCUGAGCUUGCGCGAUUGGAUGCGCCGAUGUCGGAUUAGCUGGUUGGCGGGGUGAUGGCCCACCAUGGCGACGAUCCGUAGCUGGUCUGAGAGGAGGGUCAGCCACACUGGAGCUGAGACACGGUCCAGGGUACUGCGGGAGGCAGCAGUGGGGAAUAGUGGGCAAUGGGGGCAAGCCUGAUCCAGCGAGACCGAGUCGGUGGAGAAGGCCUUCGGGUUGUAAAGCCCUUUUGUUGGGAAAGAAAAGCAGCAGGUUAAGACCCCGCUGUUGUGACGGUAACCAAAGAAUAAGCACCGGCUAACUUCGUG
rnacentral:rRNA from 1 species